UGUUUUAUAUUCCCUAUGGGUGCCGUAUCUAUGUUAUGUCAUCUGCUGCUGUGCUGUACUAUGUGUUUGUGUGAUAUCUCGUGACUUGAGCCGGGGGUCUUUCGGAAACAGCCUUUCUACUUCAUCAGAGGUAGAGGUAUGGACUGCGUACAUCUUACCCCCCCCAGACCCCACUAAGUGGGAAUACACUGGGUUUGUUGUUGUAU
rnacentral:lncRNA from 1 species